GCCUUGGAGGGCUUGCUCUUCAAGGUUAGUGGCGGACGGGUGCGUAACACGUGAGCAACUUGUCCUACGGUGGGGGAUAGCCGGCCCAACGGCCGGGUAAUACCGCGUAUUGCAUCGGCAUCGCAUGGUGCUGAUGUGAAAGCGGCCGCAAGGUCGCGCCGGAGGAGGGGCUCGCGGCGUAUCAGCUUGUUGGUGGGGUAACGGCCUACCAAGGCUACGACGCGUAGCUGGUCUGAGAGGAUGAUCAGCCACAUUGGGACUGAGAUACGGCCCAGACUCCUACGGGAGGCAGCAGUGGGGAAUAUUGCGCAAUGGCCGCAAGGCUGACGCAGCGACGCCGUGUGUGGGAUGAAGGCCCUCGGGUUGUAAACCACUGUCAGGAGGGACGAAUACUCGGCUUCAAAUAGUUGACCGAGGGUGACGGUACCUCCAGAGGAAGCACCGGCUAACUCCGUGCCAGCAGCCGCGGUAACACGGAGGGUGCGAGCGUUGUCCGGAUUCACUGGGCGUAAAGCGCGCGUAGGCGGUUCUGUAAGUCACCUGUGAAAUCCCGGGGCUCAACUCCGGGGCUGCAGGUGAUACUGCAAAGCUAGAGCUCGGUAGAGGCAAGUGGAAUUCCCGGUGUAGCGGUGGAAAGCGUAGAUAUCGGGAAGAACACCAGUGGCGAAGGCGGCUUGCUGGGCCGAUGCUGACGCUGAGGCGCGAAAGCGUGGGGAGCAAACAGGAUUAGAUACCCUGGUAGUCCACGCCGUAAACG
rnacentral:rRNA from 1 species